rnacentral:lncRNA from 1 species
GCUAACAAGCGCAUGAUAAGGAACCGGUGUUUUGUGGCAUACUCACAUGCACAUGCUUGGUAUAUAAAGCCUGCUUCUGCAUUGAAAGAAAGGUGCCAUUUUGCGUGCAUGGCACAAGCCACUAGGAGAAAGAACCAAAAGGAAAAAAAUAAAAAAAAAAACAGGAAGGAAGAUUUUAUUUGCUAUCCCAAAUCUUUGCAGAUAGUGCUAAAUUAGGUGAUGAAACUCCUGUGAAAAAUAAAAGACAAGUAGCCUGCGGGAAAAUGCCAUAUGCUUUUAGCUUUGGCAAAUGACUGGAUGUUGGCAGCCUGUGGCCAGAAAACAUACUCUGUGUGUUUUAAUUCCUUGGACUUGAUUGAGACUUGUUUCAUGAUUCAGCAUAUGGUCUGCCUUGCUGAGGCCUUUGAGAUACUAUAUGAACUGCUCCAACAUUCUGAAGAGAAGGUCUGGAUCAUUUAAGUAGGACUUGCAAAGAAAGUGGCCUAGAUCCUUAGCUGAGCUGAUCACUUACCUCAAACCUAUAAAGAAGUGGAGGGGCCAAGAAUAGGUGUUGGAUAUCAGCGGGAGAGUUUCAUCAAAGAGCUGUCAGUUUCAUCUCAACCUUACCCUCCAGGAGAGGUAAGAUGUCCUCUGUCUCACAAUAAAUGAGUUUGACUUUUGGUCCUGGGCAUCUGUGGUACUGAGAGCUUAGGGCUGGCUCCAUGCUUUAAAAUAUGUAUAUGUGAGAACUGCAUGAACUCGCCAGUGCGGAGAUGAAAAAGAAAGAAAAAAGUCAGGAAGCUCCAGAAGCUUUCUACAUUUCCAUUUGAGAUAAGGACAAGGAUGCUUGAAUGUUUUUCUUGAAGAAGUGAACAAAUGGAACAGAAAUCUACAUUUUACCUGAGAGAGGAAAGAGAGUGCAUAACUGUUUCUCAUGAACCACAGUGAAGUUUGAGAGCAUAGGCUCAGAACCAACUCAAAUCCUCUAUACAAAGAUUGCCUGGAGAGUCAAGGUGAACACCCCUCCUACGCACACACCUGCCAACACACACACAAAAGACAGAGGAAGACUACAGGAUUGCAAAAGGAGAGAGAAGGAACACAAGUGGCUAGCUGAAGGAAAAGUAUUGCUUAAAUUUGGGGACCACUGCAGAAGGUUUCCAAUAGCACUCCAAAAAAAUAGGAGGCCACAUGAAUCAUAAUCAAUCCCAAAGGAAUCCAUCAUAAAUACUGGUCACAGCUGGAAGUAACCAAUACUCUAUUGGUGUCUGUCCUUGUUCAUGUACUUGUCUCCCCACCACUCCAAUCACUGAAGCUGAGUCUCUUGGGUGGUGUGCAAAGGAGAUCGAAUCCAGCCAAGUGACAGGAUGAAAGAGAAUCUGACCACACUCUCCAUACUUGCCACAGGCUUCCAAGCUCAAAGGGUCCUGUAGUGAGAGAGGAGUGGCUCUUUGUUUUUUUUUGUUUUG